UUGAAGUGUGGAGCUGGUUCAGGUGAAACCUAUUCUUCAUGUUCAGCUUAGGCGAAAACCAUUUUCUGUGUGAGUGUUUUUCGUCGGAGUGAAGAAUGAAGCAUUUCAGGCUUCACAGAAACUUCCACGUGAAGUCUUCACUCUGAUUUCAAAUGUGUUUGAAAAUCUGUCGUUUUCGUGCUUGACCACUUAAUCUAACCGUUGCGAGGCAAAGUGAUAAAGUGUGAGCUGGAGUCUCAGGGAUCACUUUAUCCAACAGGUCACAACGGCUAGAUCAGCCGUGGCCAAGGCUAUAUAAGACGACCCACCCCGAAGGAGUUCGGUGGUGAACCCCAGUGAGUUGUUUUGAAGAACACCUGAUAAAACCCUUAGAACUGAACUGAGCGUGAAGAAUGAGAUCCCCGCUCUAGCCGAGCACUUGAAACUUGUUACUCUUGGUGAUUGGCUUCACCUAGACGGCUAGGAGUCAGUGUUGAAGAGCAAUCGAAGAUUGUGAUUUGCUAUCAACCAGUCUGUGAAGGUCCGGAGAUCACCUCAAGAUCUGCCACGAGGAACUGGGCGAGACUUUGGUCUUAACUCAAGAGGAUUGGGUGGGCUUGUGUGUCCACGAGUCUUGUGUGACUCAGCCCCCUCAACGGAGACGUAGGAUUGUGCCAACAAUCUGAACUUUAGAAAACAAAUCCCUGUCUCUUCAGUCCUGGUGAUUUCGUUCCUCAACUUUUACUCUCUGUUGAACUAUAACUGAUUCAUUGUGUUUUGUCUUCAUUGCUGCUGCUAUAAACUUGUUCAUCUUUCUUCUUUCCGCUGCAACUCUAAAAUUGCUAAGUGUAAUCCCUG
rnacentral:lncRNA from 1 species